UUGACCGUGAACUCCCAGUCCCCCUGCGGCCCCGCCAGCGUCUCGUCGCCGAAGUGGUCGCCGCCGGCCAGCACUCCCAGGACGACCUGGUCGCCGUAGGGCCCGUUGCCGACCUUGUUGAGCUUGCCGUGCGCGAUGAGCACGACCUCGUCGGCCGGCCGGCCCGCCUCCACCAGCACCUCCCCGGGCGAGAACUCCCGCUGCGCGAACCGCUCGCCGAGCGCCUCCAGAACCUCGGGGUCGUCGAAGUGGCGCAGCGUCGGCAGCUCGCCCAGCUCGGCCGGGACCACCUUCACCUGUGACCCCACGGUGGUGAAGCUCACCCGCCCGUCGCCGAUGGUGUAGCUCAGCCGCCGGUUCACCCGGUAGGUGCCGCCCGACACCUGCACCCACGGCAGCAUCCGCAGCAGCCACCGCGAGGAGAUCUCCUGCAUCUGCGGCACUGUCUUGGUCGUCGUCGCGAGAUUGCGCGCCGCGGCCGUACCGAGACUCAACUGCGUCCU
rnacentral:antisense_RNA from 1 species